rnacentral:other from 2 species
AAGCACCUGCUAUGUUUGUGAACUACCCGUAAAGUUUUGAGCUAACACUUUGUAGAGGGGAGCCCGGCUCUAGUUGUGGCGCAUAAGCCUCCUUGGGGUGGACAUGUAAAGCAACUAGGAGGGCACCCACUUGUGGGGAGAGCAGUUCAAAACUGACGGUUCCACGGCAUAGUGGGGCUUU